AGGGGCGGGGUGCGCAGGCCGCAGCGGAGUGGGGCCCAGCGGGGCCGGGGCCCGGCGGGGGGGGGGGGUGGCGGCGGAGGCGGCAAGCGGCGGGGUCGGCGCCUCGUGGCGGCGAUGCCGAGCAAGAAGAAGAAAUACAACGCGCGCUUCCCGCCGGCGCGGAUCAAGAAGAUCAUGCAGACGGACGAGGAGAUUGGGAAGGUGGCGGCCGCCGUCCCUGUCAUUAUCUCACGGGCGCUGGAGCUCUUCCUGGAGUCGCUGCUGCGCAAGGCGUGCCACAUCACCCAGUCCCGCAACGCCAAGACCAUGACCACCUCGCACCUGUGAGUGUCCCCUGGGGGUCCCCGAGGUCCCCUGGGUGUUCUCAACGUCCCCUGGGGGUCCCCACAGCCCUCUGGGUGCAGUUGAGGUGUCCCCAAGGUCCCCAGGGUGCCAGGGAGGUGUCCCCAAUGUCCCUUGGGUGCUGGGGACAUGUCCCCAAGGUCCCCAGGGUGCCAGAGACGUGUUCCCUAGGUCCCCUGGGUGCCGAGGAUGUGUCCCCAAGGUCCCCAGGGUGCCAGGGCGGUGUCCCCAAUGUCCCUUGGGUGCUGGGGACAUGUCCCCAAGGUUCCCAGGGUGCCAGGGAGGUGUCCCCAAUGUCCCUUGGGUGCCAAGGAUGUGUCCCCAAGGUCCCCAGGGUGCCAGGGAGGUGUCCCCAAU